AGUAUAGUGGUGAGUAUCCGCGCCUGUCACGUGCGAGACCGGGGUUCGAUUCCCCGCCAGAGAG
rnacentral:tRNA from 1 species